UCUGUUAAUUAUGUUUAAAUUUAUUAUGUUUUUGUAAAUGGCAAUUAGGAGAUUUUUAAAUCGGCAUUAGACACAAUAACAUCCAUUAAUAUCUUGGCUGCUUAUUUCUGGAUUGUUAUUAUUGUAGUUAUAUUGGUCAUAAAAGUAAAUAAAUAAAUACAUAAAUAAAAAGAAAAAAUGUGUGUGUGUUGGGGGGGCGCAACAUAUUAAUACAUUUGUUAAAGCGCAUAUUCAUGUAGUAAAUUGGAGCAUAGUGUUCCACAAUAUAAUCAGUUCUAGAACAGGCUAACGACUCUGUAUGUACUGUAUGACAGCUAAUUGUAUAUCUUUUGAACUUUUAAUCUUGUUCUCUCAUAUUUGGGGUGUAACCAGCAGAUGUUACAGACAGAGUGUCCUUCAUGCAUGUAAUGUUUGAGCAGUUUCAGUGUACUGUGAUCAUGAUACUUUAAAACAAUAGAUUAGCAGUGUUGACAAUAGCAAAUAGUCAGAAUUAAGUCAGAAACAUACACAUAUGAUUUCUUCUUUUUUUCUUUAACCUAUCUUUCUAUUUCUGCUUUUUUUUUUAUUAUAUAUAUAUAUUUUUUUUUUUUUUUGGGCUAGAAGACACAUUACCAUUUAAGUUUGCAUAAUGACUCAUCACUUCCCAAUGUGUGAACUUCCUCAAAUAUUUCAUGCUUAUCUCUGCACUGCACCAGUGCUUUCAGACGACUUGUCCUCUCUUUUCAUUUGAAUUCAACUUUUAUAUCCUUGAAAGAAUGGAGAAUAAUGGAGGAAAACCGUGUCAGCAACAUUAUGUGCUGGUUUCGUCAGCGUUUCAGAAAACAAAGGAAUGAGUUGGACCAAGACAACCCCUGUAAACACUCUCCGACGGGUAACUCUACUCUUAGCAAACCCAUCUGCUCCCCUGGACACUCCAUCUGCAAACCCCACUGUGGAUCCAGCUGCUCUGUGGAAUCUAGUGUUUCCUCCUCUUCCUCUUCCUUUCCCUCUCAUAAAUCUUCCAUCGCGGCCAAGUCGUCCUCCUCAGAACAUUCUCUGCCCUCAGAGCUCUUCUCUUCUUUCCGCUCAACUCGCAGUUAUGACGUUUGUGUGUGUCACAAUGAUAAGGACAUUGAUCAAGCACAGAAUUUGGCCUUUUUCCUAGAGGACCCUUCGAAAGGUCUGCGCUGUUACCUGCAGGAAAGGGACUGUCCAUUAGGAGGUGCUGUGUCUACUGAGCUCCUGCAGGCAGUGCAUGACAGCCACUGCUGGGUGUUGCUCAUCACUCCAAACUUCCUGAAUGAUGACUGGUGCUUGUAUCAGAUGCACCAAGUCCUGUCUGAGGGGCCCAUGUCACAGAGGAUCAUCCCAGCUGUACUAAAUAUGCCCAGAUCUGAGCUUCCACAGGAACUUCGAUUUGUUUUUACUGUGGAUUUUAAUAGGAACAAAGAGGUUGGCUACAACCAAGUGUACAAGACAGUAAUUCAUUAUUUGAAGGACAUCAUUGAUAAGGAAAGGCUCUGCAAACUGUCUCAGUCAGAAAGCAGAGAAUAGUUUCAAAAUGGCAUGCCCAUGCACCAUCCACAAUCUGUUCACUGACUGUCUGAUGCAUACUGCACACAAAACAGGAAAGCAUUUUCUUGAUCUGACAAGGUCUACUGUGAUUGGCUGACUUUACAUAACUUCCAGGAGUAAGGGCACAAAUUAUGUUUUUUUUUUUGUUGUUGUUUUUUUUUUUUUUUUUUUAAAUCUGCCUGCUUAGAAAUAAAGUUUAUGGGGGCCUGGGUAGCUCAGUGGUAAAAUACACUGGCUACCACCAAUUCUGAUCACACACAUUUUUUAUAGUACACGUUUUCUGGCGUUUUCUCAACAAGAUCACACAGGAACUCGACAUGUUCUUAAUGAAUGUUCUGGUACCCUGACAUCGUCCCCAUUCUGCUGAUUUACUGACAAGCACCAUCUCCCAUCACACAUUUCUGCAUCAGUUCGACUGUGUUUACCUUUUACUGUAGAAACCAGAAAGUAAAUAUGUUUACUUAAUGCACAAUUUGGAGGUUGCAUUUCCCCUCUAAGAUUACAUUUUUACUACUCUGACUGUAAGGUUUAGUGUUUGGGUUAGGAGGUGGAGAUAAUAAAAUAUGCAUUCCAUUUUUUACAACUAAAAAUACAACCUGCUUUUGGCAUCACUCUGUGGAUAUUUCACCCGGAAACUGGAGCUCACACUUGCCAAUACGUUCAACAACACUUCCAGCUUUGGCCACUGGGGGCAGUGGUGUGAAUUGCCGUAAGCACAAACCGAUUUCAGCAUCAGAACUUUUGACUUGCCAAAUUCACAGUGACAUCAGUCUGCAUUUUUACACACAUUUUUUUUUACUAUUUUUUCAGUGUUUUGCAAACAACCGUUUGAAGAGACUGCUGCUCCAUUAUUUAAAUAUUUUUUUCACACCUAUCCAUUAUUGUGGUUUAAUUUAUUUCAGACCACAAUUAUUUGAAUGUAACUGAAUGAAUUUAACUCAUUGUGACCACAAUGACAAUGUUCUUCACUUCCAAGAAGUGAUAUCUAAAACAAGCUGUGUCAUAGCUUUCCGCAGUCUAUUGCCUCAGAGCUCCCUAAAUUAGUUUUAGUUAAAUAUGACUGCUGUCAAAAUGGAUUUAUCUUCCCUUAUCAUGCAGGAUGGGGCAUACAAUAUGUUAUCCUUUCUGAUUUUAGGUCAAAGUCAGAUUAAAGGAAGUCCUUAUGUAACUCAACCUACAAAGAACAAAAUAUUUUAGCAACAUAUAUUUUUUAAUAACAUGUGGAACUGUAUUCUCUCACUCUAUUCCACCAACAAAUAAAUACAUAUGUAAUGGAAAUGCAAGCUGUGAAUUUCAUUAGAACAGCAGCAGAUAUAAAUGACAUGUUAAUUGUGUUUACUAAUGCAUGUUUUUGAAGAAUCACAUCAGUAUUAAGAGUUUAUCUUAUAUGCAGAUUAUCAAUUAUUUUAAACACAAAGAGACCAUGGUUAUUUUGGUUUUUCUACUUGCAGUCAUCUGUGUUUGAAUUUGUGCCUUGAGGCAGAUGAUUCACUGUGGCAUUUCAAUGGUUUUAGAAGGGCUUAAUGCCACAGUUGGACAUGCCAUGUAAACCAGUGGGACACCUCAAAGAACUGCUAGCCUGGCCGCAAAGCAUGGCAGUCAAUAUGAAUAAUGAAGAAUAACCACUGUCUUACCUAAAGCAGCAAAGUCCAACACCUGAACCUGCAUUAUAAAUGUCAUCAUGUGCUGUGCCCAUCAACAAUGCCAGAGUCAACUUGAGAUGUUUUUCAAAAGUCAGGAUAAAAUUCAGUGCGGAAUGCCAGCCUAACAUGUUCAAGGAAUAAGUCUGAUGAAUAAAUGAAUAUUUUUCACUUGUCAUCUCAGUGCACUCUUGUUUUGAGUUGAUCCACGAUGCGUACAGACGCCACAACUUCAAAGGCACAUGUUGAUACAACUUAAAUGGAAUUGUUUUUAAUGCUACCAAAAUGUCAUAAAAACGGGUUAUUUCAUGAAUCAAAGUACUUGUUUAUAAAAAAAAAAAGAAAAAAAAUAGAAUCUUUUUAGAAACUAAGGGUGCACUCACACUAGUCGAUCUGUAUCGUGCCCAAGCACGUUUGACCCCCCAAAGUCCAGUUCGUUUGACUAGUGUGAUUACUCCAUACCGUGCCCUGGCACCCGCUUGAAGAGGUGGGCUUGGGCACGGUUCAGUUGGCUAAAGCACGUUACGCAUCUAGUAUGAUUGCUAACCGUGGCUGAGCACGGAACUCGAAACAUGAUGUCAGUGAUGCGACUGAUCCAUUUAACAAACAUGGCGGCAAAAGGAUCUCUUUGGUCUAUGGCAGAGGUGCAGUGUUUUCUGGAAAUUUGGGCCGACGAGAGUAUACAGGAACAACUGGAUAUAACACACAAGAACUCCGAGAUAUCUGGUAAAAUUUGUCACUAUCUUCAUGCUCGUGGAUACCAAAGAACUAUUGAGCAAUGACGUGACAAGCUGAAAAAACUGCAGGUUCAGUAUUUGAAGGUAAAUCUGGCAGCUCAUCGGACGAAAAGGAUAAAUUCCAGUGGUACGAUGCUGUCGACAAUUAGGCAUGUGAGAGGGCCAUGUGUCACCAUGCCCCAAAUGACUCCAAAUAAGCCACAAAGUGUUCAAACGUUAGAAUGAUGGACUUCAUUGUACUGUGCAAGUGCGCUUUUCUUCCUGUUUUCUUCAAAACAAAAAGUCGCAUCGUAAUGACGCAAGCAUGCUCAGGCCGGAACGUUAAGUGCUAUGUGAGUGCAGGCCAGCGGGGAAGUGGGGAGGGGGGACAAUCGUGCUUGGGCACGGUACAAGGCAACCAGGCCUAGUGUGAGUACGCCCUAGACAUUUUCUCACAAUCAAUGUAGAACGUUGCUUGGAGUCACUGACCCAGAUUCAGCUUUUCUCAUCCCACUCUCCCAGUUAUAGGGAGCUGUAACACGGAGCAGUUUGGCUGCAUAAGUCAGUGACUUGAGCGAGUAUUUCACCAUGUAUCAUGUCGUGUCGAGUGGAAGACUAGUUUUAUAAUCCCUCUGCCUUAAGGCAUUUACUGAUUUUUCAAUGCAGUGUGUAUUAACACAUGAAUCAACUGCAUUUCACUCAACCGAAUGUUGUUGACCUCACAUACACGCUAGUUGAUUGACAGGCGAUGUCUGUAUCUAAAAGAUGACUGGCUCUUUUACCUGCAAGGCGAGACUUCCAUUAUACAUCCAUUGACUGCUGGGUGCUAGAGCUUCUUGGUUGGGCAUUCCAAUUUCUCCCAUUCAUUUAAAUAGAAGUGACUCAUCUCAUUCUGCUAAAUAGUCUCUGGCCUCACACUCUAUAGAAGUAUAAUGCCAAUCAUGCACUACGUCUCCUCCCUGAAGGAUUUCUCACAUUACAGGGACAGCAGAGGUGUACAAAAGCAACACGUUACUUUAUUUAAAAAAUAACUCCGAUAUUAUGGUCUAAACUAAAAAAAUAUUGCAUUACUUUACUCGUUACUCUAAAAAAGUAAUCUGAUUACGUAAUGUGCAUUACUUUUAUCACGUUACCCCCAACACUGCUUGUGCACUUGUAAAUACUUAUGCGAGAGAGCAAGACCAGUGUUCAUUGGGGGAUGGGGAGGGGCAAUGAAGUCCUUUUACUGGUUGAUGCCUAGCCAAUGAAAUGGGCCAUUUUUGUAUGCGAUGACAUCACGUUACAUCGCCAGCCUGCGCCUUUUUGUUAAGGCAAAGCAGGACAGGUGUUAUGGGUCAACUGGGGAUCGUGUUAACUGGCCGUAUAAUUUGGGGGAGUGUAAUUGGGGAUGCAAAUAAUUUCUCUUACCUUUUCAGCAGAUUCGUUCAAUGUGAAUUGUUAAGGAGCACUGAUAAAACAUUUUGCACAUUACAAUUUUUUAUUCAUUAUUAACCCGCUUUGUUUCUUUGAUGUCUGUUUUAAUGAAUUUGACACAGUUUAAGAGUGAUUUUAACAGCUUCACAGGGUACCAUGUUUACCAAUGUUAAUGUGGGACAUUGGUUUUGAACUGGAACUGGCGAUUACACUUGUCAGAGCAGUAAAUCACAAGUGGAAUUAUUUUAUUUGCGAAAUGAAAUCAUCAUAGGCUGAAAUGCCUCAAUAACUAGCCUAUAUACUUAAAAUACAUUUAUUUAUUUAUGAAAAAUAAUACAUUGAUAAAAUGAUUGUUUUCCUUUUGUUGAUAGUAGUUAUAACCUAUGCUAUGUGUCAAAAUGUCAAAUUGAUUGAUUUAUGACGUGAUUUAUGACUCCCCUGUCACCCGUGAUUGACAGGCAGAAGAUAGUCCAGACAUGUUAAAGAACAUGUUUGGACAUGUUCUUUCUGGAGUGUAUUGGCCAGUCGUCGGAUGUCAGUGAUUGUUUAUGGUGUGUUAAUGUUAAUGAUGUCUUACCUCUCACCAUUGUUCCUUCCUGGUAUGCUUUUCACACUUACAUCACUACCCACAUCCUGAAUUUUUUGUUUAAAUAAUGGUUUAAGAUGCCAUAGUUAAAACACAGAAGACACUCUGUAACUUUCUGCUACAAUGGCUGCUCCGAGAACUCCUAAAACCUCUAGAAGAUUGAUGUGUAUUUCACCAACAAGAGGACCUGUUGAAAUGAGAGAGGAACUGAUUUUUGCACCAAGGAAAAAACAAAAUGUUAGUUUGACAAAGUUUCUUCAUGAAGAUGUGGAUUUUGCGAAACAUGAUUUCUCAUUGUCUGGUAAACGUGUAGGAAGAUAUGUGUUUGAAAAGGUGAUGCGGACUGUGAAACUCUAUACUGUGGAUAUUGGAGCUGAUUUUACAUCACAAGAACCCUGUCUGAUUUUCCCUGCCAAAGACUGGUUUAUGUUUUACAAUUACAUUUGGAGAGAUUUGAAUGACUGUGGCGAUAAGCCACUGUACAUCGGUGAGUGGGACGCCAUGACUCCUUAUAUUUUUUGUGUAACGACAAGACAAAGCUCUGCGAAAGUGCAUGGCCUAUUCCUGAGUCUGAGCAUCACAUGUGCUAUGACAUGAAAUUUUUGUUUCAGCUGAAAUAUGUUUGUAUGCUUGAUGACAUUUUUACCUGUAUUGACAAGAUGUUUAGGUGAUGUGACAUAUAUGAUCGCAACAGUUCUGUAAAGACAAUAUUGUUUCACCCUGAGCAGGGCGUCAACAACCCCAAAGACCGCCUCUUAAGUCCGCCCCCAUAUUACAGCCAUUAAAAAUGGCAGCAGUUCGGUAUAUUCGCUACAUACAUUCACCAUGUCUCAAGAAUCUAUGACUGUCUACUGCUACACCAACACUCCUGAGACUGCACCGGCGAUGCCUGAUGACAACGCAACACCGCUGGAGCCCCACCCACAAACUUGUGACAACAACUGGUUGGACACAUUUUGCAAGGAUCUGGGGUAUCACAACCUGACCUUCCUUACAACGCCGUACGGCAAUUCUGGAGCAAUAGCUGGAGCUGCGGCCUAUGCUGGGAUUGAUGACACAGACAGUUGUAUCCGCUCUGACGGCUUCAAAAUCAUAAAAGUGACUGUCGUGGUCCUUUUGGAACAUCUCAUCAACAAAAAGCUGAAAGAACUCUGUUUGGGCUGUGAGGUGGACCAUCCGAGUCAGAUUAGACAUUCCUGCUUGUUUGAACCUGACGCCUAUUUCUUUGACGCAUACUUUGAGGAACUGUCACGUAAUCUGGUUAAACCAGGACUUAAACACAUCAUAGCUCAAGCAUUGAGCCAGUGUGGUUUGAGGAUUCACCCCCAGAGGAUUCAGGAGAGGGUGGACACUAUUAUGCAUGAACUGUGUGAUGAAGUUUACAUUGUGGAAAAGCUUCGUGAAGUCAGAAAGAAAGUUGUGGAUGUCAGCAGCGAACAGAUUGUCUAUGACGCCGUGGACAAUUGGAAAGGCUCUGCCCAAGUUGCCUGUGUGUGAUACUGAAAUGGGGAACACAUGCUGUCCUACAGGACUGGCAAAGUGUCUACUUAAAUGUCGUAUUAGAUGUGAGAUGACCAACUUAAUGUACAAAAUCAUUAAUGACUGUGUUGAUGUACCUGUUGCUGUAAACAAAUGUGGUGUUGAUCCCAAAUGUUUAGCAAACCUCAAGAAGCAAAUGUCUGUUGUAAGAGAUAUGUCAAAUGAGUGGACAGAUAUGAUGCGUAUGUGUAUUAUUGCAGGUGAUCAAAUUUGUGCAACUACCAGAAAAAUACUAGACCUGGUGACUGAAUGUGGCAGUUGUAUUAGAAUUGCUGACAUAAUCUGUAUGUGUUCGUAUGCGACUGAUUUAUGUGUAAUCACAGUGUCAAGAAACGACCAGACUGAUGUUUGUGAAAUUACUGAAACACUAAUUGAUUACAUUCUUGAGAAAAACAUUGUGAUGUGUAUAAAAAUUUCUACAGUACCUUGAUGCUGUAUGAUGCCAAUGUUCUCUUUUACUGAAAUA